GACGAACGCUGGCGGCGUGCUUAACACAUGCAAGUCGAGCGGGGAGCUUCGGCUCCUAGCGGCGAACGGGUGAGUAACACGUGGGCAACCUGCCCCGAGCUCUGGAAUAACUCCGGGAAACCGGGGCUAAUGCCGGAUAUGACAUUGCCGGGCAUCUGGUGGUGUGGAAAGAUUUAUCGGCUCGGGAUGGGCCCGCGGCCUAUCAGCUUGUUGGUGGGGUGACGGCCUACCAAGGCGACGACGGGUAGCCGGCCUGAGAGGGCGACCGGCCACACUGGGACUGAGAUACGGCCCAGACUCCUACGGGAGGCAGCAGUGGGGAAUAUUGCGCAAUGGGCGGAAGCCUGACGCAGCGACGCCGCGUGAGGGAUGACGGCCUUCGGGUUGUAAACCUCUUUCAGCAGGGACGAAGCGAGAGUGACGGUACCUGCAGAAGAAGCACCGGCCAACUACGUGCCAGCAGCCGCGGUAAUACGUAGGGUGCAAGCGUUGUCCGGAAUUAUUGGGCGUAAAGAGCUCGUAGGCGGCCUGUCGCGUCGGCUGUGAAAACCCGGGGCUUAACCCCGGGCCUGCAGUCGAUACGGGCAGGCUAGAGUCCGGUAGGGGAGACUGGAAUUCCUGGUGUAGCGGUGAAAUGCGCAGAUAUCGGGAGGAACACCGGUGGCGAAGGCGGGUCUCUGGGCCGGGAACUGACGCUAAGGAGCGAAAGCGUGGGGAGCGAACAGGAUUAGAUACCCUGGUAGUCCACGCCGUAAACGUUGGGCGCUAGGUGUGGGGGACCUUCCACGGCCUCCGUGCCGCAGCUAACGCAUUAAGCGCCCCGCCUGGGGAGUACGGCCGCAAGGCUAAAACUCAAAGGAAUUGACGGGGGCCCGCACAAGCGGCGGAGCAUGUGGCUUAAUUCGAUGCAACGCGAAGAACCUUACCAGGGCUUGACAUGCAGAGAAAUCCUCCAGAGAUGGGGGGUCCUUCGGGGUUCUGCACAGGUGGUGCAUGGCUGUCGUCAGC
rnacentral:rRNA from 1 species